UACAGAGGGUGCAAGCGUUGUUCGGAAUUACUGGGCGUAAAGGGCGCGUAGGCGGCCUUCUAAGUCGAACGUGAAAUCCCCGGGCUCAACCCGGGAACUGCGUCCGAGACUGAAAGGCUCGAAUCCGGGAGAGGGAUGUGGAAUUCCAGGUGUAGCGGUGAAAUGCGUAGAUAUCGGGAGGAACACCUGCGGCGAAGGCGGCUUCCUGGACUGCAACUGACGCUGAGGCGCGAAAGCUAGGGGAGCAAACAGG
rnacentral:rRNA from 1 species